CGCACAUUGCGCCCUCUGGUAUUCCAGAGGGCAUGCCUGUUCGAGCGUCAUUUCAACCCUCAAGCUCUGCUUGGUGUUGGGGCAUUACCCGGCCGCUUCUGCGGGACGGUAAGCCCUGAAAUUCAGUGGCGAGCUCGCCAGGACUCCGAGCGUAGUAGUUAAACCCUCGCUUUGGACUGUACUGGCGCGGCCUAGCCGUAAAACCCCCCAACUUCUGAAAAUUUGACCUCGGAUCAGGUAGGAAUACCCGCUGAACUUAA
rnacentral:misc_RNA from 1 species